AUAAAGGUUUUACCCCUUUUCUUUUUA
rnacentral:tRNA from 1 species